UGGGGAAUAUUGCACAAUGGGCGCAAGCCUGAUGCAGCAACGCCGCGUGAACGAUGAAGGUCUUCGGAUCGUAAAGUUCUGUUGCAGGGGAAGAUAAUGACGGUACCCUGUGAGGAAGCCCCGGCUAACUACGUGCCAGCAGCCGCGGUAAUACGUAGGGGGCUAGCGUUAUCCGGAUUUACUGGGCGUAAAGGGUGCGUAGGUGGUCUUUCAAGUCGGUGGUUAAAGGCUACGGCUCAACCGUAGUUAGCCUCCGAAACUGGAAGACUUGAGUGCAGGAGAGGAAAGUGGAAUUCCCAGUGUAGCGGUGAAAUGCGUAGAUAUUAGGAAGAACACCAGUGGCGAAGGCGACUUUCUGGACGAACACUGACGCUGAGGCGCGAAAGCCAGGGGAGCGAACGGG
rnacentral:rRNA from 1 species